CCUUAGACGAAUUCAGCCCCAAGAAUAACAUGUGGUCACCAAAACUCAUGACUUCCGCCCACUUGUACAUGUAACCAUCAUUAUUUUCGGUGUCGACAAGUGUGAAGACCUUGAAGAAUGGCUCUCGGUUGGGCAACCAAAAGUGUUGUAUCGCCAUAGAUGGCUUGCCGUGUAGCUCGAUGAGGUGGCCGUGGCACGUUGUUUCGAUACUGUGGCGCCUUUGGACGGCCAACGAGUGGGUUGAUGCGAUGACCGGCGUACCAUCUGACUUCAUGUCAAUUUUAAACUUGAUCAGCUCCUCGUCAGGAUAGACAAAAGCAUAGAGCUCACCUUUGCAGAAUGCGAUGCCUAUAAUGAACUUUUCGUCUAAAUUUCUUACGGUCCACCCGGU
rnacentral:lncRNA from 1 species